rnacentral:rRNA from 1 species
CCUACGGGUGGCAGCAGUGAGGAAUAUUGGUCAAUGGCCGGAAGGCUGAACCAGCCAUGCCGCGUGAAGGGCAGGGCCCUAUGGGCGUUAAACUUCUUUUGUGCGGGAGCAAUAAUGGUCACGUGUGGCCAGACGAGAGUACCGUACGAAUAAGCAUCGGCUAACUCCGUGCCAGCAGCCGCGGUAAUACGGGGGAUGCAAGCGUUAUCCGGAUUUAUUGGGUUUAAAGGGUGCGUAGGCUGUGAGGUAAGUCAGCGGUGAAAUGCCCCCGCUCAACGGGGUGAAGUGCCAUUGAUACUGCCUGGCUGGAAUGCGGAUGCCGUGGGAGGAAUGUGUGGUGUAGCGGUGAAAUGCAUAGAUAUCACACAGAACACCGAUUGCGAAGGCAUCUCACGAAUCCGCGAUUGACGCUGAUGCACGAAAGCGUGGGUAUCAAACAGGAUUAGAUACCCUUGUAGUC